rnacentral:tRNA from 1 species
GGCCCGGUAGCUUAACGGAUAAAGCAACUCCCUUCUAAGGAGUAGACUGAGCGUUCGAUUCGCUCCCGGGUCG